CCCUUAGAUGUUCUGGGCCGCACGCGCGCUACACUGAUGCAUUCAACGAGUCUAAAACCUGCUCUGAUAGGGGUGGGUAAUCUUUUGAAUGUGCAUCGUGAUUGGGAUAGAUGAUUGAAAUUUUUCAUCUUCAACGAGGAAUUCCUAGUAAACGCAAGUCAUCAGCUUGCAUUGAUUACGUCCCUGCCCUUUGUACACACCGCCCGUCGCUCCUACCGAUUGAAUGAUCCGAUGAAUAUCAUGGAUUGAGGAUGCAAGUAGGUUCACCUAUCUUCAUCUUCGAGAAGUGAAGUAAAUCUUAUCAUUUAGAGGAAGGAGAAGUCGUAACA
rnacentral:rRNA from 1 species